rnacentral:rRNA from 1 species
UACGGGGGGAGCAAGCGUUGUUCGGAUUUACUGGGCGUAAAGGGCGCGUAGGCGGUCGUGACAAGUCACUUGUGAAAUCUCCGGGCUUAACUCGGAACGGUCAAGUGAUACUGUCGGACUAGAGUACAGAAGGGGCAACUGGAAUUCUCGGUGUAGCGGUGAAAUGCGUAGAUAUCUGGAGGAAUACCGGUGGCGAAGGCGGCAUCCUGGACCGACAUUGACGCUGAGGAGCGAAAGCUAGGGGAGCAAACGGG